AUCAUCUGGAGAUCUUAUUAAAAUGCAGAUUUUGAUUCAGAAGCACUAGAGUAGGCCUGAGAUUCUGCAUUUAUAACAAGCUCCCAUGUGGUAUUGA
rnacentral:pre_miRNA from 1 species